UACAGAGGGUGCAAGCGUUAUCCGGAUUUAUUGGGCGUAAAGCGUUUCGUAGGCGGCGGGGAAAGUUAUUUUUCAAAGACCACGGCUUAACCGGGGGAAGGGAGAUAAUACUAUUCCGCUUGAUUUUUGGUGGGGUUUCUAGAACUGAUGGUGUAGUAGUGAAAUACGUUGAUAUCAUCAGGAAUUCCAAGGGCGAAGGCAGGAAACUAACCAAGUAAUGACGCUGAGGAACGACAGCUAGGGGAGCGAAAGGG
rnacentral:rRNA from 1 species